rnacentral:misc_RNA from 1 species
GGAAGUAAAAAGUCGUAACAAGGUUUCCGUAGGUGAACCUGCGGAAGGAUCAUUCAUAAUAAAGUGUUUUAUGGCACUUUCUAAAAAUCCAUAUCCACCUUGUGUGCAAUGUUAGAUCUCGUCAAUCUUGGCGAGAUUUUUAUACAUCAACUCAUUCUUUAACUAAUUUGUCUGAAAAAUAUUAUGAAUACUUAAUUCAAAAUACAACUUUCAACAACGGAUCUCUUGGCUCUC